GAUGAACGCUGGCGGCGUGCCUAAUACAUGCAAGUCGAGCGAACAGAUAAGGAGCUUGCUCCUUUGACGUUAGCGGCGGACGGGUGAGUAACACGUGGGUAACCUACCUAUAAGACUGGAAUAACUCCGGGAAACCGGGGCUAAUGCCGGAUAACAUUUAGAACCGCAUGGUUCUAAAGUGAAAGAUGGUUUUACUAUCACUUAUGGAUGGACCCGCGCCGUAUUAGCUAGUUGGUAAGGUAACGGCUUACCAAGGCAACGAUACGUAGCCGACCUGAGAGGGUGAUCGGCCACACUGGAACUGAGACACGGUCCAGACUCCUACGGGAGGCAGCAGUAGGGAAUCUUCCGCAAUGGGCGAAAGCCUGACGGAGCAACGCCGCGUGAGUGAUGAAGGUCUUCGGAUCGUAAAACUCUGUUAUUAGGGAAGAACAAAUGUGUAAGUAACUGUGCACGUCUUGACGGUACCUAAUCAGAAAGCCACGGCUAACUACGUG
rnacentral:rRNA from 1 species